ACACAACUGGAUUCAAAAGACAUCUUGAACUGCAAGAGGGACUGGGAAAAGUGAAGCUAUCAUCUCUGUCCCUAUCUUGGAAUUGGGCACUUCCAACAGAUAAGCAAACUGAACUGCAGAAGUGUUAACAUAGUGAGGAAGUGAAGGAGCCAAGAUUCCAACUCCACCAUCCGGCCGCAGAGGCUGCCCAAGGCGCGGUUCUCAGCCAGCAGCGUCUGCCACAGCAGGCUGCCUCUAAAAUCAUAACACGUAAAAGUUCUAAGUGAUGCUUGUCUGCCUCAGAAGUGCAAAUGUGACAUUUGCCCCUGGCUGCAGUCAUGGUGUGGGGUGAAAAGAGCAGAGGGGCAUCCAAGAGUGACAAGAAUUGCUUUCUGUCAUCAUCAAGGCUGCGUCAGCUCACACUGUGAUCAGAUCCCUCUUGUACUGGUCCCAGAAGAGAAAGACUAUGACAUUAUUGCCCCUCAGGAAGAGGUGAAGCCCUCUCACCCCCAAUAUGCAUCAAUGUCAGAAUCAGGAAGCAGAUGAGAGGUACACAGCCCCCUGAGAAGCAGUGCUUGACACAGGCUACUGUAAUAGGUGUCCACCCAUCUGAAUCCUACUGCCCAGCACUCAGCUCAGAUGGAACAAGAGGCUGCCAGACGAGAGCUGGCACCAGUUUGAUCGCUCCCAUUUCAUAGAUCUUUACAAUGUCACACUGUUGCUCCAGCUUAUUUAGAAAUCCUGGAAAGAAGGGAAGUGGAGAUUGCAGGGCAGCCUCAGCCCUCAGAAAAGUUUCUCUGCUUUCUCAUGUGUCCCAGCUUACAGGAUGCCAGGCCAGCAAGCUAAUGACCAACAGCUGAGCGCCAUGGCAAAGAACGAUAUAAAGACAAUCAUCUGGCUUCUGCUACUUUACAAACAAAAGGCAAGAGAUAGCAUACUGGAGAGAAAACAAAAUAAAAACUUUUAAUAAUG